UGAGUAACACGUAUCCAACCUGCCGUCUACUCUUGGCCAGCCUUCUGAAAGGAAGAUUAAUCCAGGAUGGCAUCAUGAGUUCACAUGUCCGCAUGAUUAAAGGUAUUUUCCGGUAGACGAUGGGGAUGCGUUCCAUUAGAUAGUAGGCGGGAUAACGGCCCACCUAGUCAACGAUGGAUAGGGGUUCUGAGAGGAAGGUCCCCCACAUUGGAACUGAGACACGGUCCAA
rnacentral:rRNA from 1 species